GCGGUUUUUGUCAUUGUAAAUAAGUCUCACGAGAGAUCUGAUGGUUUCAUAAAGGGCAGCCCCUCUGCGUACGCUCUCUUGCCUGAGGCCACAUAAGAUGUGCUGUUGCUCCUUUUUUAGCUAUUGCCAUGAUUCUGAGGCCUCCCAGCCAUGUGGAACUAACUUCCUGAAAACAAUGGAAAACUUGGUUGACCUCUCUACACAACCCUGUGGUGCACAGGCCUGUGAGUCAUCUCAGAUCCUUUCUUCCCAUACACUCUGGUAGCCAUUGCUACUCUAUUGCUUUUGUGCCACACUGAAUGUCUCUACUAGGAUUAUAGCUUCCAAGCAGGUGACACUGGUAAGUGGUUGGAUUCUGACCUAUUUCAAGAAUCUUCCUGUUACCUGAUAGAGCACUCCAACA
rnacentral:lncRNA from 10 species